UACGUAGGGGGCAAGCGUUGUCCGGAUUUAUUGGGCGUAAAGAGCGUGUAGGCGGCCAGGUAGGUCAGCUGUGAAAACUCGAGGCUUAACCUCGAGACGCCGGCUGAAACUCUCUGGCUAGAGUCCGGAAGAGGAGAGCGGAAUUCCUGGUGUAGCGGUGAAAUGCGCAGAUAUCAGGAGGAACACCGGUGGCGAAGGCGGGUCUCUGGGCAACAACUGACGCUGAGGAGCGAAAGCGUGGGGAGCGAACAGG
rnacentral:rRNA from 1 species